rnacentral:rRNA from 1 species
GAUUGAACGCUGGCGGCAGGCCUAACACAUGCAAGUCGAGCGGUAGAGAGAAGCUUGCUUCUCUUGAGAGCGGCGGACGGGUGAGUAAAGCCUAGGAAUCUGCCUGGUAGUGGGGGAUAACGUUCGGAAACGGACGCUAAUACCGCAUACGUCCUACGGGAGAAAGCAGGGGACCUUCGGGCCUUGCGCUAUCAGAUGAGCCUAGGUCGGAUUAGCUAGUUGGUGAGGUAAUGGCUCACCAAGGCGACGAUCCGUAACUGGUCUGAGAGGAUGAUCAGUCACACUGGAACUGAGACACGGUCCAGACUCCUACGGGAGGCAGCAGUGGGGAAUAUUGGACAAUGGGCGAAAGCCUGAUCCAGCCAUGCCGCGUGUGUGAAGAAGGUCUUCGGAUUGUAAAGCACUUUAAGUUGGGAGGAAGGGCAGUUACCUAAUACGUGAUUGU